rnacentral:rRNA from 1 species
AGUGAACGCUGGCGGUAGGCCUAACACAUGCAAGUCGAACGGCAGCACAGUAAGAGCUUGCUCUUACGGGUGGCGAGUGGCGGACGGGUGAGGAAUACAUCGGAAUCUACUUUUUCGUGGGGGAUAACGUAGGGAAACUUACGCUAAUACCGCAUACGACCUACGGGUGAAAGCAGGGGAUCUUCGGACCUUGCGCGAUUGAAUGAGCCGAUGUCGGAUUAGCUAGUUGGCGGGGUAAAGGCCCACCAAGGCGACGAUCCGUAGCUGGUCUGAGAGGAUGAUCAGCCACACUGGAACUGAGACACGGUCCAGACUCCUACGGGAGGCAGCAGUGGGGAAUAUUGGACAAUGGGCGCAAGCCUGAUCCAGCCAUACCGCGUGGGUGAAGAAGGCCUUCGGGUUGCAAAGCCCUUUUGUUGGGAAAGAAAAGCGGCAGGUUAAUACCCCGCUGUUCUGACGGUACCCAAAGAAUAAGCACCGGCUAACUUCGUG